rnacentral:lncRNA from 1 species
UACCUAGAGCUCCAUCUCACUCUGAGCUUUCACUGGCUCCUGAAGCUCCAUCUUGCAUUGAACUAUCUGUCAAGAGGUAAUGUCCUUUAUACCUCUUCUCCUUUAACAUAAUCCUAUUGCCGCACAAAAUCCUCAGGAUUCCAUCAUCAGCUCUCCAUCUGUAGCUGUGUGAAUCCAGUCUGCUUAGUAAAAUUGGAUUUCUCUUGAAAUUGGGUAUGUAUCGGAUCUCACUCAAUUUCUUCACUACUCCAUCAUGAGUCUAUAAGCUGACAAUCCUAAUAUCCUUGAUUGCAUAAUUCAAUCCAUCGAUAGAUGAAUAGUACCCUUACUGUUCUUUAGGG